ACGAAGUCUGACGCAGCAACGCGCGUGAGGGAUGAAGGCCUUCGGGUCGUAAACCUCUUUCUCAGGGACGAUAAUGACGGUACCUGAGGAAUAAGCCACGGCUAGCUACGUGCCAGCAGCCGCGGUAAUACGUAGGUGGCGAGCGUUGUCCGGAUUUACUGGGCGUAAAGAGCGCGCAGGCGGUCGGCCAAGUCGAGUGUGAAAGCCCCCCGGCUCAACUGGGGAGGGUCACUCGAUACUGGUCGACUCGAAGGCGGGAGAGGGAAGCGGAAUUCCCGGUGUAGUGGUGAAAUGCGUAGAUAUCGGGAGGAACACCAGUGGCGAAGGCGGCUUCCUGGCCCGUUCUUGACGCUGAGGCGCGAAAGCUAGGGGAGCGAACGGGAUUAGAUACCCCGGUAGUCCUAGCCGUAAACGAUGGACACUAGGUGUUGGUGGUAUCAACCCCACCAGUGCCGAAGCUAACGCAUUAAGUGUCCCGCCUGGGGAGUACGGCCGCAAGGCUA
rnacentral:rRNA from 1 species